AGAGUUUGAUCAUGGCUCAGAUUGAACGCUGGCGGCAGGCCUAACACAUGCAAGUCGAGCGGUAGCACAGAGAGCUUGCUCUCGGGUGACGAGCGGCGGACGGGUGAGUAAUGUCUGGGAAACUGCCUGAUGGAGGGGGAUAACUACUGGAAACGGUAGCUAAUACCGCAUAACGUCGCAAGACCAAAGUGGGGGACCUUCGGGCCUCAUGCCAUCAGAUGUGCCCAGAUGGGAUUAGCUAGUAGGUGGGGUAAUGGCUCACCUAGGCGACGAUCCCUAGCUGGUCUGAGAGGAUGACCAGCCACACUGGAACUGAGACACGGUCCAGACUCCUACGGGAGGCAGCAGUGGGGAAUAUUGCACAAUGGGCGCAAGCCUGAUGCAGCCAUGCCGCGUGUGUGAAGAAGGCCUUCGGGUUGUAAAGCACUUUCAGCGGGGAGGAAGGCGGUGAGGUUAAUAACCUCACCGAUUGACGUUACCCGCAGAAGAAGCACCGGCUAACUCCGUGCCAGCAGCCGCGGUAAUACGGAGGGUGCAAGCGUUAAUCGGAAUUACUGGGCGUAAAGCGCACGCAGGCGGUCUGUCAAGUCGGAUGUGAAAUCCCCGGGCUNAACCUGGGAACUGCAUUCGAAACUGGCAGGCUAGAGUCUUGUAGAGGGGGGUAGAAUUCCAGGUGUAGCGGUGAAAUGCGUAGAGAUCUGGAGGAAUACCGGUGGCGAAGGCGGCCCCCUGGACAAAGACUGACGCUCAGGUGCGAAAGCGUGGGGAGCAAACAGGAUUAGAUACCCUGGUAGUCCACGCCGUAAACGAUGUCGAUUUGGAGGUUGUGCCCUUGAGGCGUGGCUUCCGGAGCUAACGCGUUAAAUCGACCGCCUGGGGAGUACGGCCGCAAGGUUAAAACUCAAAUGAAUUGACGGGGGCCCGCACAAGCGGUGGAGCAUGUGGUUUAAUUCGAUGCAACGCGAAGAACCUUACCUGGUCUUGACAUCCACAGAACUUNUUGGUGCCUUCGGGAACUGUGAGACAGGUGCUGCAUGGCUGUCGUCAGCUCGUGUUGUGAAAUGUUGGGUUAAGUCCCGCAACGAGCGCAACCCUUAUCCUUUGUUGCCAGCGGUCCGGCCGGGAACUCAAAGGAGACUGCCAGUGAUAAACUGGAGGAAGGUGGGGAUGACGUCAAGUCAUCAUGGCCCUUACGACCAGGGCUACACACGUGCUACAAUGGCAUAUACAAAGAGAAGCGACCUCGCGAGAGCAAGCGGACCUCAUAAAGUAUGUCGUAGUCCGGAUUGGAGUCUGCAACUCGACUCCAUGAAGUCGGAAUCGCUAGUAAUCGUAGAUCAGAAUGCUACGGUGAAUACGUUCCCGGGCCUUGUACACACCGCCCGUCACACCAUGGGAGUGGGUUGCAAAAGAAGUAGGUAGCUUAACCUUCGGGAGGGCGCUUACCACUUUGUGAUUCAUGACUGGGGUGAAGUCGUAACAAGGUAACCGUAGGGGAACCUGCGGUUGGAUCACCU
rnacentral:rRNA from 1 species